AACCCGCCCACCCCACCCCAGACCCCGCCCCGGGAGCACUGGCAGGGAGUCCUGAGGAAGGCGGAGGAGGAGGAGGAGGAGGAGCCUCGCCCACCGCGGGGCUCACGCAGCGCCCCCUGCUGGGCUUCCUCGGCCCCCGCAGCUCUGCGCCCUGCGCUGGGAACCCCGGCUUCGGCCCGCGCGGCUUCCAGCUGUCAGUGCGGCGCUGGACAGUCACUCUCCUCCAGCCCCAGGAAAUUUACCAACACGCAGCUGACAACUGACCGACCGGGCCGAGGCCCCGCAGGCCGGAGGAGGGCGGACGCGGAGCGGGCGGGGGCCGCGCGAGUCACGUGGGAGGCCGCGGACACGCGCCCCACGGUGCGGAGGUUUACCGGGGAGUGUCCAGGUGGGCGGGUGGGGAGAGGGCGCGGGUCCACGGUGGCCGUGGACGGAGGGUUCCGCGCGCGGAGGGGAGACCGCCCUGCUCCCGGCGGGAGGCGCCGUUGGCUCCGGGACGACCCGGCGACGUCCGCAUUUGCGUGAAUUCUGCUUUUCUCAUUGUAAUGGAAAUCAAGGGAAGACACUUGUCAUCUGAGAUGCUGACAGUUCAACCACUGGUGAGUAUGGAAUUCUUUUUAAGAAAUUGUUACCAGCAAUAGUUAGGUUCCUCUGAUUGGCUUGAGUAUUCUAAAGGCAUUCAGGAGUUAUUUAAAGUUAUGAGCACUAGUUAAGUUUCUCCCUGUCUCUGGGAUGGUCAUGGAAG
rnacentral:lncRNA from 1 species